ensembl:lncRNA
CUUCACUUGACACACAGAUGAAAAUUCUUGUCUUACAAUAGAAAAUAACCAAGCUUGAUCACAAAUAUCCUAACCUUCUAAAGUGGGUUCAGAAAGGUGUUCCUGGCUCCUGGACCUUCUGGUCUCAGCCAUGAAUGAUCUGACUUGCUGUAGCACUCUAGUUAGUAUUUGUCAAAAGAUAAGACUCCAACUCCUGAGCAAAACCACGUGUCUGCCCCCACCAGUGGCGAGCUAAUCAGCGUGACUUCUUUUUUUUCUGCCUCCCACACAUUACACAGUGUCUCUCCGAGGAAGAACAUAAUUUGCACCCUGUUGUGAAAAGAAUCCAAGAAACUCUGUGAGCGGUUAGAAGGGUGAGACUGUUCCUAAAAAAUCAACAAACUGUAUCUGCUAGGUCCUUAUCCAAUUAUGGUUCUUAACCUCAUAGAUUGUACCAGGUGUGUGGUCCAGUUCUUCCAACCCUGUGAACAGAGGAUCCCAUGGACUGUAUCCUGCCAGGCUCUUCUGUCCACUGGAUUCUCCAGGCAAGAAUAUUGGAGUGGGUUACUGUUUCCUUUUCCAGGGGAUCUUCCUGACCCAGGGAUUGAACCCGUGUCUCUUGCAUCUCCUGCAUUGGCAGGCAGAUUCUGUACCACUGCAUCACCUGGCCAGGUUACAUGCAUGCUAAGUCACUUCAGUCCUGUCUGACUCUGUGUGAUCCUAUGGACUAUAGCCUGCCAGGCUCCUCUGUCCAUGGGAUUUCCCAGGCAAGAAUACUGGAGUGGGCUGCCAUGCCAAAUUAUCACUGAAAUUGAUUGAGUCAUUAACAAUCUUAAUUAUUUGAAGGUGUUGUACUCUUUCAUUCACUCAUAUCACUGGACAGGGGCAAAUUCCAGAAAUUCUUCUCGAGGCAAUUUUAGUAGCAAUUAAAUUUUCCCCUUGAUCAACAGGAUCAAUCAACUGUAAUUCCGCUUGUUGCUGAUGGAUGGGUCAUAAGUGACGAUGUGGCAGCCUCAACUUGCAAUUCAAGUUGACCACUGUUGUCAUUUCUGGUGGAAAUAUAUCUUCUUUGGGAUCUAAGACUUAUACGUUAGUGGUGUCCAAGAUUUGGGGAAGUUGUUGUUUAGUUGCUCUGUUGUGUCCGAUUCUUUGUGACUCCAUGGACUGCAGCACACCAGACUUCCCUGUCCUUCACAGACUCCUUGAGCUUGCUCAAACCCAUAUCCAUUGAGUCAGUGAUGCCAUGCAACCAUCUCAUCCUCUGUCUUACCCUUUCCCUCCCACCUUCAAACCUUUCCAGCAUCAGAGUC